rnacentral:rRNA from 1 species
UAGGGAAUUUUGGGCAAUGGGCGAAAGCCUGACCCAGCAACGCCGCGUGUGGGAUGAAGGCCCUCGGGUCGUAAACCACUGUCAGGAGGAAAGAAAAGUCGGCCGGAUAAUACUCGGUCGACCUGACGGUACCUCCAAAGGAAGCACCGGCUAACUCCGUGCCAGCAGCCGCGGUAAGACGGAAGGUGCAAGCGUUGCUCGGAAUCACUGGGCGUAAAGGGUGCGUAGGCGGCCUCGUAAGUCUGACGUGAAAGCCCCGGGCUCAGCCCGGGAAGUGCGCUAGAAACUGUGAGGCUCGAGUGCCGGAGGGGAGAGUGGAAUUCCUGGUGUAGCGGUGAAAUGCGUAGAUAUCAGGAGGAAUACCGGUGGCGAAAGCGACUCUCUGGACGGCAACUGACGCUGAGGCACGAAAGCGUGGGGAGCAAACAGGAUUAGAUACCCACGUAGUCCCUGAGCGGGCUGGCAAGGCGCAU